rnacentral:rRNA from 1 species
UUAACGCGAAGGACCUUACCUACUCUUGACAUCCAGAGAACUUAGCAGAGAUGCUUUGGUGCCUUCGGGAACUCUGAGACAGGUGCUGCAUGGCUGUCGUCAGCUCGUGUUGUGAAAUGUUGGGUUAAGUCCCGCAACGAGCGCAACCCUUAUCCUUUGUUGCCAGCGGUCCGGCCGGGAACUCAAAGGAGACUGCCAGUGAUAAACUGGAGGAAGGUGGGGAUGACGUCAAGUCAUCAUGGCCCUUACGAGUAGGGCUACACACGUGCUACAAUGGCAUAUACAAAGAGAAGCGACCUCGCGAGAGCAAGCGGACCUCAUAAAGUAUGUCGUAGUCCGGAUUGGAGUCUGCAACUCGACUCCAUGAAGUCGGAAUCGCUAGUAAUCGUGGAUCAGAAUGCCACGGUGAAUACGUUCCCGGGUCUUGUAC